rnacentral:rRNA from 1 species
AUGAGGAAAUGGGGGGAGGAGAGGGUGGCGCGCAGCGCGGUGUCUUCGGGUCGUCGUCGCGGGCGGCCAGACUUAGCUCGUCGGUGGCCUCUGCCCCCGGCCGCGGAGACAGAUCGGAGGACGGCCUGCCCUCUCUGCAAUAGGAAAGAGAAGGGGAACAUGAGGAAAGAGAAGCGGCCAGGCUCGCGCGGUGGUGGACGCCAUCGCCGGCGGCUCGACCGGACCGGCGUGGCGCGGUCGCCCGGCGACCGGGAAAGCGUCGGGUCGAGAGAGGAUGAACGGCGCGAGAGAAAAGAAUGGGGGCGCUAG